rnacentral:rRNA from 1 species
UACGGAGGAUGCGAGCGUUAUCCGGAUUUAUUGGGUUUAAAGGGUGCGUAGGCGGACGGUCAAGUCAGCGGUAAAAAUGCGGUGCUCAACGCCGUACAGCCGUCGGAACUGGCAGUCUUGAGUGGGCGAGAAGUAUGCGGAAUGCGUGGUGUAGCGGUGAAAUGCAUAGAUAUCACGCAGAACUCCGAUUGCGAAGGCAGCAUACCGGCGCUCAACUGACGCUCAUGCACGAAAGUGUGGGUAUCGAACAGG